GAGGCGUAAGACUCAGCCUGAGGCAGUCUAUGAGGAGAUCAACCACAGAUACAUCACUAGAAGAAUCACGAGCUCCACUCAAAGAGGAAGUCUCCUCUCUGAAGAACAGUAUUCUGGGUAUGAGCAUGUGGAUGAUGAGCUUCUCUCAGUAAAGUCUGGGAUUGGAGAAAAGGCUGAGGAUUAUGAUGAUGUCAUCGACACCAGUGACUUCAUAAGUGCUACAGGAAGAGUGGAGGCACCAGAGGACUACGAUGAUGCCGUCACUGCUGGACCGAUCCCUGAUAACGUGGAUGAGGAUGAAGCUGAGAAUUAUGAUGACGCCAUUACAGCUGAUCAGAAGUCAGUUCUACUGACAGAGGACGUGUGAGAA